GAUGAACGCUAGCUACAGGCUUAACACAUGCAAGUCGAGGGGCAGCAUGAACAUAGCUUGCUAUGUUUGAUGGCGACCGGCGCACGGGUGCGUAACACGUAUCCAAUCUACCCAUGGCUCGGGGAUAGCCUUUCGAAAGAAAGAUUAAUACCCGAUGGUCUCGGUUUAAGGCAUCUUAGACUGAGUAAAGAUUUAUCGGCGAUGGAUGAGGAUGCGUCUGAUUAGGUAGAUGGCGGGGUAACGGCCCACCAUGCCUACGAUCAGUAGGGGUUCUGAGAGGAAGGUCCCCCACAUUGGAACUGAGACACGGUCCAAACUCCUACGGGAGGCAGCAGUGAGGAAUAUUGGUCAAUGGACGAGAGUCUGAACCAGCCAAGUAGCGUGAAGGAUGACUGCCCUAUGGGUUGUAAACUUCUUUUGUUUGGGAAUAAAGUUCGGGACGUGUCCCGUUUUGUAUGUACCAUUCGAAUAAGCAUCGGCUAAUUCCGUGCCAGCAGCCGCGGUAAUAC
rnacentral:rRNA from 1 species